rnacentral:rRNA from 1 species
AACGAACGCUGGCGGCAUGUCUAACACAUGCAAGUCGAACGAGACCUUCGGGUCUAGUGGCGCACGGGUGCGUAACGCGUGGGAACCUGCCCUUAGGUUCGGAAUAACUCCCCGAAAGGGGUGCUAAUACCGGAUAAUGUCUUCGGGCCAAAGAUUUAUCGCCUUUGGAUGGGCCCGCGUUGGAUUAGCUAGUUGGUAGGGUAAAAGCCUACCAAGGCGACGAUCCAUAGCUGGUCUGAGAGGAUGAUCAGCCACACUGGGACUGAGACACGGCCCAGACUCCUACGGGAGGCAGCAGUGGGGAAUAUUGGACAAUGGGCGAAAGCCUGAUCCAGCAAUGCCGCGUGAGUGAUGAAGGCCUUAGGGUUGUAAAGCUCUUUUACCCGGGAUGAUAAUGACAGUACCGGGAGAAUAAGCUCCGGCUAACUCCGUG